UACGUAGGGCGCAAGCGUUAUCCGGAAUUAUUGGGCGUAAAGAGCUCGUAGGCGGUUUGUCACGUCGGAUGUGAAAUCCCGGGGCUUAACCUCGGGUCUGCAUUCGAUACGGGCUGACUAGAGUUCGGUAGGGGAGACUGGAAUUCCUGGUGUAGCGGUGAAAUGCGCAGAUAUCAGGAGGAACACCGGUGGCGAAGGCGGGUCUCUGGGCCGAUACUGACGCUGAGGAGCGAAAGCGUGGGGAGCGAACAGG
rnacentral:rRNA from 1 species